rnacentral:rRNA from 1 species
UACGAAGGGGGCUAGCGUUGUUCGGAAUCACUGGGCGUAAAGCGCACGUAGGCGGAUCUUUAAGUCAGGGGUGAAAUCCCGAGGCUCAACCUCGGAACUGCCUUUGAUACUGGGGAUCUCGAGUCCGGAAGAGGUGAGUGGAACUGCGAGUGUAGAGGUGAAAUUCGUAGAUAUUCGCAAGAACACCAGUGGCGAAGGCGGCUCACUGGCCCGAUACUGACGCUGAGGCACGAAAGCGUGGGGAGCAAACAGG